CCUUCGGGGGGCAGCAGUGGGGAAUAUUGCACAAUGGGGGAAACCCUGAUGCAGCGACGCCGCGUGAGUGAAGCAGUAUUUCGGUAUGUAAAGCUCUAUCAGCAGGGAAGAAAUAGCGACCUUUGGGUCGCCAGACGGUACCUGACUAAGAAGCCCCGGCUAACUACGUGCCAGCAGCCGCGGUAAUACGUAGGGGGCAAGCGUUAUCCGGAUUUACUGGGGGUAAAGGGAGAGUAGACGGCAGCACAAGGCUGAAGUGAAAUGCCGGGGCUUAACCCCGGAACUGCUUUGGAAACUGUGCAGCUAGAGUGCAGGAGAGGUAAGUGGAAUGCCUAGUGUAGCGGUGAAAUGCGUAGAUAUUAGGAGGAACACCAGUGGCGAAGGCGGCUUACUGGACUGUAACUGACGUUGAGGCUCGAAAGCGUGGGGAGCAAACAGGAUUAGAUACCCUGGUAGUC
rnacentral:rRNA from 1 species